rnacentral:rRNA from 1 species
CUCGGGCAGCUUCCAUGCAGUCGAACGGCAGCACGGACUUCGGUCUGGUGGCGAGUGGCGAACGGGUGAGUAAUGUAUCGGAACGUGCCUAGUAGCGGGGGAUAACUACGCGAAAGCGUAGCUAAUACCGCAUACGCCCUACGGGGGAAAGCAGGGGAUCGCAAGACCUUGCACUAUUAGAGCGGCCGAUAUCGGAUUAGCUAGUUGGUGGGGUAACGGCUCACCAAGGCGACGAUCCGUAGCUGGUUUGAGAGGACGACCAGCCACACUGGGACUGAGACACGGCCCAGACUCCUACGGGAGGCAGCAGUGGGGAAUUUUGGACAAUGGGGGAAACCCUGAUCCAGCCAUCCCGCGUGUGCGAUGAAGGCCUUCGGGUUGUAAAGCACUUUUGGCAGGAAAGAAACGUCAUGGGCUAAUACCCCGUGAAAUUGACGGUGCCUGC